rnacentral:misc_RNA from 1 species
GAUGAAGAACGUAGCAAAAUGCGAUACUUGGUGUGAAUUGCAGAAUCCCGUGAACCAUCGAGUCUUUGAACGCAAGUUGCGCCCGAAGCCAUUAGGCCGAGGGCACGCCUGCCUGGGCGUCACACGUCGUUGCCCCCCCAUCUACUCCUUCGGGAUUGCGGGGGGCGGAUGAUGGCCUCUCGUGCGCCUCGUCGCGCGGUUGGCCUAAAUGCCAAGUCCUCGGCGACGCAUGCCACGACAAUCGGUGGUUGCGAAACCUCGGUUGCCUGUCGUGUGCGGUCGUCGCGCAUCGAGGGCUCGAAAAAAUUGCCGGGCUUCGGCUCGACUUUCAACGCGACCCCAGGUCAGGCGGGGUUACCCGCUGAAUUUAAGCAUAUCAAUAAGCGGAGGA